AUGGAACUUCCUAUUACAAUAAUCUCUUCCAUAAUAUACAUAUUUCAACAAUAUCUCUUUCAUUUGUCUACCCAAAACCAAAAUUUGAUUCAAAGAUGGCUUCUGUUGUUUGGAAGAAACUCUUGUCAAUUGUUAGACUCAUUGUUCCUUCCAAAGCAAAUGCAAAGAGAUUGAGUUCCACAAACGAUAUUGAUGGUAUGAAGAAAAAGAAGUUUCCUCCUCGUCCAUUUGAUGAAGAAAGUUCUGCUGCUCCUCGCAAUGGGAACUAUUGAUUCUUAAAUUGUAUAUACAAUUUUCCGUUAUCAUUUUUAUUAUCAUGAAAUAAUUAUACCUGUUGUUUUUUAAUUUUCAAUCUUUUAUACCAAAGAAUAUAUAUAUAUCAAUUCUAGCUCUAAUCCGAUUAUUUCCUUAA